AGCACUGCAGGAGAGAGCACACUGAGCCUGCGUGCCACAGCACAGCACAAGUCACUGCCAGGGCACGGGGUGCAGCCGCCGUGCUGCUGAGGGCUCACAGCUGGCUCACCGUGGCAGCCAGGGACACUCCGUGUGGCUGCUGUGAUGGUUUUGCACCUUCAGUGAGCAGACGAACUCACCUGGCUCAGAGAAGGAACUUCUUGUCUUUCUGCCCUGAGUUCACCUACUCUGACUGUCCUCUGUGGAUGCCCGUGGGGUUCAAGCAGACAGGAUGACCACAGCCAGGCACUGACAUCAGAUAAAUCCCAGGAUUGCAGCAGAGGCUGGCAGCCCCUGUGUGCCCAGAGCUCUGAGAAGCUCUGUUCUGGAGAGAACACACCAGUCAGGGCACUGGAGCUUUCUCCCUGAAAACCACCAUCACCUCAGAGAGGUAAUUCUCAAAGGAGAGAUGCCAAACACUGGAAAGGUUCAGAAGAUGGACAUCACUGAGGCUGGACUAAGUCCAGUACAAAUCCUGUGUGUGCAGCGUGGAUGCUUGUGAGACCCAAAGCCAAGGGCAGAACACGUGGAUGCACACAGGGCUCCACCUCUGCAUCCAAGGAGGAUGAGUACAGCAAAGCUGUGGUCAUUUUGGUCUGGAAGUAUCACAAGAAACCCUUGCAGUUUGGGUUUUUUUUCCUUCACAAUCUCCUUAUUUCAAUUUAGG